rnacentral:rRNA from 1 species
AUGAUCCUACGAGACGACAGAGGCGAGAUCAUCUAUAGCGCCUGUAGGGAGCUACGCACAUGUGAGAAUGCCCUUGAGGCGGAGCUAGCGACGUGCAGAGAAGGCCUGGAGUUGGCUUUAUACCGCACGAACCUACCGAUCAUGGUCGCGAUGGACAACACGGAGGCGGUGGCCAUGCUUACAGGACGUCACCGGGACAGAUUGGUUCAUCGUGCACUAGUAGAGGAGAUUUGCAGAAUGUCUAGUCUCGCUACUAGGGAGAUUUCUUUUAUGCACUGUUUCCGCUCUCAGAACUCUGUUAGUCAUGAGCUGGCCGCCUAUGGCCGUAGCACGCCGCGCACAACAGUAUGGUUGGCUGGCGGUAUGGACCAUGUUGUAAAUCUGGCUAUGGCUGAGAAGCCCCCGUAA